UACGGGGGGAGCAAGCGUUGUUCGGAUUUACUGGGCGUAAAGGGCGCGUAGGCGGUAGCACAAGUCAGUUGUGAAAUCUCCGGGCUUAACUCGGAAAGGUCAACUGAUACUGUGCGACUAGAGUGCAGAAGGGGCAACUGGAAUUCUCGGUGUAGCGGUGAAAUGCGUAGAGAUGUGGAGGAACACCGAUGGCGAAGGCGGCUCACUGGACCGGAACUGACGCUGAGGCGCGAAAGCGUGGGGAGCAAACAGG
rnacentral:rRNA from 1 species